rnacentral:rRNA from 1 species
CAGUAGCCGCGGGAAUACGAAGGGGGCUAGCGUUGCUCGGAAUGACUGGGCGUAAAGGGCGCGUAGGCGGAUGGCACAGUCAGAUGUGAAAUUCCCGGGCUUAACCUGGGGGCUGCAUUUGAUACGUGUUGUCUAGAGUGAGGAAGAGGGUCGUGGAAUUCCCAGUGUAGAGGUGAAAUUCGUAGAUAUUGGGAAGAACACCGGUGGCGAAGGCGGCGACCUGGUCCUUGACUGACGCUGAGGCGCGAAAGCGUGGGGAGCAAACAGGAUUAGAUACCCCGGUAGUCCCUGUCUCUUAUAC